rnacentral:rRNA from 1 species
GACGAACGCUGGCGGCGUGCUUAACACAUGCAAGUCGAGCGGUAAGGCCCCUUCGGGGUACGACGAGCGGCGAACGGGUGAGUAACACGUGGGUGACCUGCCCUCAGCUCUGGGAUAAGCCUGGGAAACUGGGUCUAAUACUGGAUAUGACUCCACGGUGCAUGUCGUGGGGUAGAAAGCCUUGUGCGGCUGGGGAUGGGCCCGCGGCCUAUCAGCUUGUUGGUGAGGUAACGGCNCACCAAGGCAGAGAUGGCUAGCUGGUCUGAGAGGAUGGCCAGCCACACUGGGACUGAGACACGGCCCAGACUCCUACGGGAGGCAGCAGUGGGGAAUAUUGCGCAAUGGGCGAAAGCCUGACGCAGCGACGCCGCGUGGGUGAUGAAGGCCUCGGUCGUAAG